rnacentral:lncRNA from 1 species
GGUCAGCCUGCGCGCCUCUUCACUCCCACUCUUCCCAUUUCGCCGUCUCCGCGCCAGGGCAGGCAGCCACUCCAGCUGGUUGCCCCUCCCUCUUCUGAGAUGUCAGGAAGGAGGGAGCCACCGGUGUCCUCCACAAGGGCCCCCCGGAAUCUGGGGGCCCCCAGCCCCAGAGCUCGGAGGUGGAGGAGGUGCUGACAGGUCAGGUGCUCCAAGAGAUGCUCCCCGUCCCCUCAUGCUCCCUUCCCAUCCUCCUCCUCUUCCUCCUCCCCAGUGUCCCAAUGGAGCCCCACCCCCCACCCUCACCACUGCCCCCAUUCUUAGCCCCUGAGUGGGACCUCCUGUCCCCCCG